GGCAAGUCUCUGGCUUAGGUGGAGUUGGUGUUGGCGGUGUUACGACCGGUGGGCUUGGUGUUGGUGGCGUAACAACAGGUGGCGGUGGGCACGGUGAUGGCGGUGGCGGUGGGCACGGUGAUGGCGGCGUUACGACGGGUGGAGGCGUAUGAGUGGGUGGUUUAGGGGUGGACGGAGGUGGUUUAACAGUGGGCGGUUUCGUGGGUGGUUUCGGGGUAGACGGAGGAGGUUUAACGGUGGGCGGUUUCGUGGGUGGUUUCGGGGUGGACGGAGGUGGUUUAACGGUGGGCGGUUUCGUGGGUGGUUUCGGGGUGGGAUGAGGUUUGGUAGGGGGUUUCGGAUGUGGGUGUGGUUUGACAGUGGGCGGUUUGGUAGGGGGUUUAGGGUGUGGGUGUGGUUUGACGGUGGGUGGUUUGGGAGGUUUUACUGCCGGUGGUUUAGGCGGUUUGCUAGGAUGUUUAGGCGGUUUGUGGGGGUGAGGUGAUGGUUUAGGAGGGCUACAGUCGCAAGCGAAGGAGACGGCAAGAAAGCCAAGGAAGAGGAAGAUAAGAAAAGAGAGGUUUUGUGUACGAGACCCCAUUUUUCUAGAGUGAGGGUGUGGUUUACCCAAAGGACUGAGUAAGAAAGAUAUAUGAGUGUAUCAUUUUAUAGAAAGAUAUUAAAAUAUAUUUGCUAUAUAUAAUUUUCAAAUAUGCAUUUUGUGACUAGAUUAUUGAAACUGAAUUUCAGUUUUUGUUUUUGUUUUGAAAUCUAGAUUUUGUAGCAUGUGUUAAGUCACUUAGUUACAACUUACAAGUUGUCAUUU
rnacentral:lncRNA from 1 species